GUUAGAUUAGCUCUGUAAUGGGAUGGGAUCCGAAGCCCUCCGAGGGAUAACAUAGGCUCUCCCAUCCAACUCCUAUUCCGACACGUCCUCGUCGUGCAGAGUGGUAACAUGUGCCUUCAUAUAUCCUAGCUUGGGNNN
rnacentral:ribozyme from 1 species